GUUGCUGUUUCGUUUGAUGAACGGGCCGGUCUCGAAAACCGGAGUAGGGGCAACUCUACCGGGGGUUCAAAUCCCCCUCUCUCCGCCA
rnacentral:tRNA from 6 species